AAGUGGUGAAAAAUGUGUCUUUUCAUUUCCUCUUUACUUCAUGGCCUGGCUCACUUUUCACUUGAAAAAUUCCCAAGUCCAGGCUUGUAAUGUGCUGUAUCCCAAACGAGGGCAGGAGUGCACAAAAAUGCAAAAGUAGCCCGGUGAUGACCCAGUGAUAGGAAGCUUGCCUGGAUGCAUGCCAAGGCCUUGGGUUCCAUCCCUGAUACUACAAGUUCAUAAAAUCAACAAAUGAGUGCUGGCCAUUUCCCAGCCAGGCUUCAAUCCCAUGACUUGAGGAUAGAAGCUGUCGUGUCAGGCCUGCAUACUUGUCUGGCUCUGCACUCUUGGUUCUUGCCAGCAGCCCACCUUUGCCCUUCUCUACCUCUCCAGCCACACAUAGCUAGGUUCCUGGCACUGACUCUUGCUAGUUGCAGGCUUAGGCUAGCCUUUCCCUGUGUCCAACCAGGACUUGUCCUUUAACUUCAUGCUGCUUUCAAGUCUCACCUUCCUGACGAGCCCCGGGAGCACCAAGAGCUCCUCUGUUGUACUGAGGAUCCGCUUCGUCAGCAUUGGCUCCACCGUCCUGUGUGGCAGCUGACAGUCUAUGGAUCUGAGGGAAAGCCCAGCCAUCCAGGAAAUUUCCUCCCAGAGUCCCUGCAGAGUUGUGAAGAUUGUUUCACUGCACCGUCUUCCUCCGUGGACUAGGAGAGCCUCAAGGUUAGCCAUUCCUUAGUGACAGGCCAGCUUGCUCUCCAGGACAGGUGACCUGAGACCCUGCAGAACACAUCUCCCUUGAGUUUGGGCCCGUUGAAAGAUGUUGUGAGCACUUGUCACUACAGGCUGCUCCCAAAUGCCCCAGCCUGUGCUUAGACCUGUCAGUCAGUGCUCUCACUGACAUAGCUGAGCACUCAAAGAUGGGACUCCAGAUGCCAGUGCUUGUCUCACCUGUGUCGGGUGUGAGUCUGCUUCAGGAUUUCUCUACACAUCUGGCACACCAGUGUCAGGGCAACAGUGCGGCCAACUCCAAGUCCUGGACCCUGGACUUUGUUUUUGCUUCCUGGAGCACCAGCGUGACCUGGACUGGUAACACAGCACCUGUAAAGCAUAUCAGCCAAUCAAGCCCAAGCUACAGUUAGCAUUGUGUGGAAGUCAUGGACACCUACCAGAUCUAUCACCAACUCCGAGAUGGGUGGCCUCAAGGAACUGUUCAAACUGAGAUUUGCCAAUGAUUUGAUCUUCAUGAAACGCUGGGGUGAAGAACCUGCUUAGUAAUACACAAGGAGCAGUCUGAUGGAGAGCUUCACUCAUGGCAUCCCAGUCCGUGGCUUCACCCAUCACAUCUUUGUCUGGCCUGUAGGUUAUCAUCAACAGAGGCUUGCUUGCAGGAGACUUGCUGGGGAUUUCACACACCUUUUAGGUAUUAACCAAGCAGCCUGGAGUUCAACACCCAAUCUAAAAGCUGUGGACAGAAAGAGGAAAGAAAUGAGUAUGGUUAUCAGGGACUUGGAAGCCCUGCAGUGACAAAAUACGGAGCAAAACAAGUGCCCAAAGUAUGAAGCAAAAGUGCACCACCAGGAGCGAACUGACUGAUCCUGUGGUGCCAGUGAUCCCAUUGUACCUUGCAUUUUUCAAAUGAACUGAAGUGUCUGAAUGAGCUGGCAGAGCUGAGAAGGAUGCACCCGAGUGCCCAGUGGACUCAGCCAGGAACAUCACCAGAUGUUGGGGAUCCACACCCAAGGGUCCCUAUGCUUCCACUCUAACCGGGGCUGGUGCUGUUGGUUACACUGCUUCAAGCAAUCUGGAGCAGAGGUGGAAGGUCCAACCUGGGAGGGUUUGUGUGUGCCCAGCUCGAACGAGGUAUUCUGUGGGAAAGCAGACAUGAGCAGGGCAGCAGAGGUGGUGGUGCAGGGCAGAGGUGAGCAGCACUCUGGAGUCAGUCCACACUAACUCAGUGCACAGCCUUAGGGCAACACACUUAUUAGCACUGUACCUCAGUUUCCUGCCUGUAAAGUAGGUAUCAAGUUAUCAACCCUAUUUAUGAGCAAUGCUUUACAGUGCUGAGCACAUCCUCCAGUUCCCAAAUACAUGCAUUGGCAUGAACUGACUUGAAUGGAGGGGACAGGCUAGUGAACUAUGCAGUAAGGUUGUGAGGUCCCCACAACAAUUGGCCUCCACAGAUGGGAGAGAUAAGACUAUGAAAGACAUGGAAGAGGUUUCCCUUGAAAGAUGAGAAAUAUUUAUUGAUGUUAUUUCUUCAUUUUGAGGAGCUAGGAGUUGUACCCAAGCUUGGCAAAGGCUGGGCAAUUGUUUUCAUCCCAUAGGCAACAGCUCCAUCAUGUUUUAGAUGAGCACCUGAGAGGAGUCUGACUGAUCCUAAUUGGGGAAAACAAAUCUAUGUUCUUGAUCACACUUUUCCCUCUACCCCCACUGUGAUCACUUUAAUGAGCCCCAGCUGAACCUCAGGCUGGCUGCAUGACUGUAGUAUACAAGGAAAUCUGCUGUCAAGGAGAGGAGAGGAAACCAAGGAGCCUGGAGUAAGUCUCUGAGCCAGUGGCAAGGGACUGCCUGUAAAGAUAGGAGCCUCUGUUUGCAGUUUCCAAACAGCCCCAGCCUUCUCCCUAGCUUGGUGUCUCGCAUUCUUGUCUGUGCUGAUCUUUAGCUUCUGGGUUUCUGUGUAACCUUGCCUUUGCUUUUCAAGAAGUUAGGACUCCAGACAAGCCUCGCUGUUUAUUUUAAAGAAGAAAGUGUGGCCUAGAGAGCCCAGCUAUAUUGCUGUGAUUGGUAAUGCAUUUGUAUACUUGCUGUGUCAUAGUUAACUUCUGAAGCGCUUCAGACAAUGAAGCCAAGCAACACAGAGCAGAGUGCCUGGAGCUUCCUUUGGACUGAGGAAGAAGGAGAAGGUGACCUGUCGGUUGUGGGAAGAGGAACGGAAAGCCAUCAAGGUCCCUCAGAGGGGGCUGAGGAAGUCCAGCAUUAGUGUCAGUUUGUGAAGAUCAUGCAGAACCAUGCCAGAAGGGUGAGGGGGCAGCACUUCAUGUUGAGAACUGUAGGUCCUCGAGGCAAGAAGUGGAUGGAGGUGUCUCAGGCAUCAAGAGGAGACCCUGAGGGAAAGAGGAGGUCGGCCUGCAGAGAAGCUUUGCAUUUUGUUGUUUGUCUACUUGUUAAGUGUGGGGAAUGGCUUUCCCAUGGGGCCAGAGCCCGAGCAGUAGACUCGACCACACUUUUUAUUUUCUUUAAAGCUCUUGCAUGUCUGCUGUAGUGUUGCAUUUUUGCUAUAUAAGCCCAUGUCAUCUUACCCACUUUUAGUAAAGGCUGCUACAGACA
ensembl:lincRNA 9330102E08Rik RIKEN cDNA 9330102E08 gene